rnacentral:sRNA from 1 species
GCGCAUCGAGCCGGCGAUCAGGGAGCGC